rnacentral:rRNA from 1 species
AUUGAACGCUGGCGGCAGGCCUAACACAUGCAAGUCGAGCGGAUGAAGGGAGCUUGCUCCUGGAUUCAGCGGCGGACGGGUGAGUAAUGCCUAGGAAUCUGCCUGGUAGUGGGGGAUAACGUCCGGAAACGGGCGCUAAUACCGCAUACGUCCUGAGGGAGAAAGUGGGGGCUCUUCGGACCUCACGCUAUCAGAUGAGCCUAGGUCGGAUUAGCUAGUUGGUGGGGUAAAGGCCUACCAAGGCGACGAUCCGUAACUGGUCUGAGAGGAUGAUCAGUCACACUGGAACUGAGACACGGUCCAGACUCCUACGGGAGGCAGCAGUGGGGAAUAUUGGACAAUGGGCGAAAGCCUGAUCCAGCCAUGCCGCGUGUGUGAAGAAGGUCUUCGGAUUGUAAAGCUCUUUAAGUUGGGAGGAAGGGCAGUAAGUUAAUACCUUGCUGUUUUGACGUUACCAACAGAAUAAGCACCGGCUAACUUCGUG